UGGGGAAUAUUGGGCAAUGGGGAGCCAUGACUCCAGCCAUGCCGCGUGUGUGAAGAAGGCCUUAUGGUUGUAAAGCACUUUAAGCGAGGAGGAGGCUCUUUUGGUUAAUACCCAAGAUGAGUGGACGUUACUCGCAGAAUAAGCACCGGCUAACUCUGUGCCAGCAGCCGCGGUAAUACAGAGGGUGCGAGCGUUAAUCGGAUUUACUGGGCGUAAAGCGUGCGUAGGCGGCUUUUAAGUCGGAUGUGAAAUCCCCGAGCUUAACUUGGGAAUUGCAUUCGAUACUGGGAAGCUAGAGUAUGGGAGAGGAUGGUAGAAUUCCAGGUGUAGCGGUGAAAUGCGUAGAGAUCUGGAGGAAUACCGAUGGCGAAGGCAGCCAUCUGGCCUAAUACUGACGCUGAGGUACGAAAGCAUGGGAGCAACA
rnacentral:rRNA from 1 species